CAGCCGCCGCGGGUAAUUCGAAAGGUGCGAGCGUUACUCGGAAUCACUGGGCGUAAAGCGCACGUAGGCGGACUCGUAGGUCAAUUGUGAAAUACCUGGGCUCAACCCGGGAACUGCAGUUGAAACCGCUUGUCUUGAAUACCUGAGAGGGUGGGGGAAUACCUGGUGGAGAAGUGAAAUUCGUAGAGAUCAGGUGGAACACCGGAGGCGAAGGCGCCUGCCUGGCAGUGUAUUGACGCUGGGGUGCGAAAGUGCGGGGAGCAAACAGGAUUAGAUACCCUGGUAGUCCGCACCGUAAACGAUGGAUACUAGGCGUUCGGAGAGUUAACCCUCUGAGUGCCAAAGUUCACACAUUAAGUAUCCCGCCUGGGAAGUACGGUCGCAAGACUAAAACUCAAAUGAAUUGACGG
rnacentral:rRNA from 1 species